UACGUAGGGGGCAAGCGUUGUCCGGAUUUAUUGGGCGUAAAGGGUCUGUAGGUGGCCAACUAAGUCAGACGUGAAAUCCCUCAGCUUAACUGGGGAACUGCGUCUGAUACUGGAUGGCUUGAGUGUGGGAGAGGAAUGCGGAAUUCCAGGUGUAGCGGUGAAAUGCGUAGAUAUCUGGAGGAACACCGGUGGCGAAGGCGGCAUUCUGGACCAUAACUGACACUGAGAGACGAAAGCCAGGGGAGCAAACGGG
rnacentral:rRNA from 1 species